rnacentral:rRNA from 1 species
GACGAACGCUGGCGGCGUGCCUAAUACAUGCAAGCAGAACGCUGGAGAGAGGAGCUUGCUCUUCUUGGAUGAGUUGCGAACGGGUGAGUAACGCGUAGGUAACCUGCCUGGUAGCGGGGGAUGACUAUUGGAAACGAUAGCUAAUACCGCAUAAAAUUGAUUAUUGCAUGAUAAUUAAUUGAAAGAUGCAAUUGCAUCACUACCAGAUGGACCUGCGUUGUAUUAGCUAGUUGGUGAGGUAACGGCUCACCAAGGCGACGAUACAUAGCCGACCUGAGAGGGUGAUCGGCCACACUGGGACUGAGACACGGCCCAGACUCCUACGGGAGGCAGCAGUAGGGAAUCUUCGGCAAUGGGGGGAACCCUGACCGAGCAACGCCGCGUGAGUGAAGAAGGUUUUCGGAUCGUAAAGCUCUGUUGUAAGAGAAGAACGGGUGUGAGAGUGGAAAGUUCACACUGCGACG